AACGAACGCUGGCGGCAGGCCUAACACAUGCAAGUCGAACGCUCCGCAAGGGGAGUGGCGCACGGGUGAGUAACACGUGGGAACCUACCUUCUGGUACGGAACAACCAAGGGAAACUUUGGCUAAGACCGUAUACGACCUCCGGGUGAAAGAUUGAUCGCCGGAAGAGGGGCCCGCGUCCGAUUAGGGUAGUUGGUGAGGUAACGGCUCACCAAGCCUUCGAUCGGUAGCUGGUCUGAGAGGAUGACCAGCCACACUGGGACUGAGACACGGCCCAGACUCCUACGGGAGGCAGCAGUGGGGAAUAUUGGACAAUGGGCGCAAGCCUGAUCCAGCCAUGCCGCGUGAGUGAUGAA
rnacentral:rRNA from 1 species